CAGAAGUUGGUCUAGAACUUGUGAUCCUCCUGCUUCAGCCUCCUGAAUCCCUAGGAUUACAGGCACAGCCCAACUUGAGAACCAAGUCAAAAUAAUAUAAAUGCCGGCAAAACCAAAAGUCUCAACCAACAACCCCAUAACAUAGCAGACCGCACAAAACUUGGAUCCAAAAUGACCAAACAGCCCCAGUGGAAAAGCCACAUAAGAAAACCUGCUAUAAGGAAGGUACUUCAUUAAAUCCAGCUGGAUAAAUCUUAAUUCUCAAAACUCCCUUUCUCUGCCACUUCCAGAAGCCACACCAACUUCCAAUCGCAACAUCCUCUGUAGUGACCAUCACCUCCCGUCCUUCCAAUGCCAGAAGUGUCAAGCUUCAGCCUCAUGCUCACACAGCCUAUGAAAGUGAGGUUUCUACAUCAAGGACCCCGGAAUCAACCCUCACUUCCUGGCCUUUCCUUUGGUCCUGAGCACCCUCCUAUUUCUCUAAACUGCAAAGCGGAGGAGGGAGCAACCAAACCUUCUCUACAGCCGUUCGAGUGACUGCUAUGUUUCCAUGGCUCACUUUCCACUGUUCUUGGUGACCCCUGCAGAUUUCCCUUAUGAGUUAGUGUCCCGGAAUGUCUCUUUAUUAGGUGUCUGGAGAAGCAGAGCUGUCCUGAUGCCAGCGCCCCCACACUGAGGACUUUAUUAGUUUUUUAAUUUCUGUCUGGGUGCCCCUGCUGCAUCAAACUUUCCACAGCUGUUAGGAGCUAUUAAGUAAGUAGCCUCAUUGGGCCCUUUCCCCACCCCCACCUCCUUCUUAAUACCAUGAGAAAUUUCUGGACAUGCUACAUGGAGUUUUUAAAAUGCAGAUACUUUGUCUCACUGGUGAGAAAUUGCUGGGGGUCCAGAUGGGGAGAGGAUGUUCUGUCAUAAGAAAAAUCUCCUGGUCUUGUUGGUGCCUUGGUUUGGAGCUGGGCUGUUCAGGCAACCAUGAGGACCCAAAGCUGGUGGGGGACAGCAGAAGUGAGACCCACUCUCUCAACAGUGCACAGCAAGCUGAAGACCAGGGUAGCUCUGACUGUUUUUAGACUGACUUGGAAUCCAGCCCAGAGCUUUAUGCCAGGUUCAAAGUGUUCCCUCCUGAGUGGACAUUAUAAGACCCGCAGAGAAGAAUAAAACAGAAGGACUAGCAAAAGUUCCCCGUGGUAGGCAGACAGCUGUGAUUCUAAGAGCCUGUGCUAUUGCUCCUGUCUCCCCUGAGAGGGAAAUACCAGGCCCCACCCUCCCUCCCUCACAGCACCCCUGAGAUGCCAUGGGCUGCCUGGGUGAGGACCAGCAGUCACAGGAUACCCGUGGGCACAACCAAAGAUGGUCACACACACACAACACACAGAGUGUAUUGUUAGACCAUGCCACAUGGCCCUUUCCCAUCCCACUCCUGGAUCUGGAAGGUUGUCCACUGGGGGUGGGGGAGGACAGAGUAAGUGGCUUGAGGGACCAGAAGGCACGGUGUCCCUCCCAGCUGCAGCACUUCGCUUUCGCCCUGUAUGCCUUCCUUUGAGGAGACUUGAUUUGCGGGUGAAUGUGAAAACCCAUAAAGAAGAAAACGCUUUGGUGGUACCCACCUCGGGAACAAUUUCGCUCAGAGAGCAAGUGGGUAUUGGAGGUUAAUCCCUCUGUGGAAGUACUGGAUCGAAAGCCCUGAGGUCAGGGGUCUGAGUACCGCUUCUGUUUACAUAUCAACUUCCUGGUCCUGGGAGACCAUGCAGGGCCAGGGGAGGGGAAAGGGCAAGAAAGGAAAGAAAAUGAGAAUUUUUAAAUUAAAUGCCCUCCCCUCUAAAAAUAAAGUCAACAAAAUAAGGUAGAGCUUGUGGAA